UGCAAAGGUUUCCUCGGGCUAAAUGGAGAUUGGCCCUCUUGUGCAAAAGUAGAAUGAAGCUUGAUUGCAAGACCCAUUUAUCUGUUGUAGCAUUAAA
rnacentral:rRNA from 1 species